CGGACGGGUGAGUAACGCGUGGAAAACCUGCCGUAUACUGGGGGAUAACACUUAGAAAUAGGUGCUAAUACUGCAUAAGCGCACAGCUUCGCAUGAAGCGGUGUGAAAAACUCUGGUGGUAUACGAUGGUUCCGCGUCUGAUUAGCUAGUUGGUGGGGUAAUGGCCCACCAAGGCAACGAUCAGUAGCCGGCCUGAGAGGGUGAACGGCCACAUUGGGACUGAGACACGGCCCAAACUCCUACGGGAGGCAGCAG
rnacentral:rRNA from 1 species